CAUUGUAUGGUACAAUGGUUUGAACAUUGGACUAUGACUCUGGAGACCAGGGUUCAAAUCCCUGCUCAGCCA